AGAAAGAGAUCUACUUGGGUGGUUGGCUGGUCUUGAACCUGGUCAGCAUGGAUAUGGUAGUGAAGGUGAUAGGGCAGAAAGUGGUGACCAGUUAAGUGAUGAGGAUGAAAGUGACGAGGACGAAAUCACCCAUGCUGUACCAUUCAAGUGCAUCGGUGCUGCUCAUGAGAAAAAUUACCAACAUCAACAGCAUACCUUGCUCUCCAUGGACAAGAUAAACCAGUGAAUGUAAGAAUACGGCCAGAGCCAUUGAAUCUAAUGGACCCAAGUGCAAUUGAUGUAGACUAUGGAACUGGAUGGACACACAUUGGUUAUCUUGCUUCUCAACUAUGCGAGUAUUUGCACCGACUAAUUGCCACAGGAGAUAUCUUAGAGGUUUAUGUUCAGCAUAUCAAGUAUAGGGUUGACUUUUUUAAAAUAGGAUUUUAUCAAAAAAUUUUCAUAAAGCGACGUGGUGAGUGGGAGACUCAAGUGGUAAGGGAGAGCAUGAGUGUACGUUGACAGAUGUUUGUGAUAUAAUUGUAACUGACUAGGUUUAGCAAGUUAUAGAAAUCAAAUGAUCUUAUUUCAAUUAGGUAACUUUUUAGAUUUUCAUAAACAAAAACUAGGUUAAUCAUAAGUGCGUGUGCACAAUUAAAAUAAAAAAGUCUGUCAUGCACACUCAUGCAAUUAAGACAAGUACAUAAUUGUAACAUGUGCUGUACUAAAUGAAGAAAUAAAUAGUUUGUACAUUCACUUGACC